UUCGUGUAUCUGUCUGUCAUUUUCAUCCAAACUCUUUGUCCAUCUGCCUAAGAAAUCCCGUUCUUCACAGACCAGGGACCCAGAGUGUCUGUGGCAGUUGGCGCCCGAACAGGGACAACUGGGCAGAUUAGUCUUUUCUUUUCUUUCUUUUUUUUUCUUUCUAUUCUUUAUUUUCUCAGGCAAAGAUAGGAUCCCGUGGGACUGCGCUGCAGGCAGGCGGACUGGCGUGUUCGUUAUAAAGACGGAAUGCUACAAGAGCGUGCUAGCUCCCAAAAUGAUUCAUGUGACAGGCUGACCUGUGAGUUCCUGAGUGCCCUGACAGUGGUGACCAGAAAGCUGUAUUGAGUGCACAGAGGAAAAAGAAAUCAGUCAUUCACAAGCAAAAUAAAGAAACUCUUCCUAUCUCCGCCAUGGACUACAACAAGGAGAGCAGACCUGGUGUCAACUUGGAGACAACUAAAACAGCUGACUUGUGAGGUGGAAGGACUGCUACAAAGUAUUGGACAAGAUUUCAUCAGAAACUGUUUUUGGCCAUUCAGGCCAACUCCCCUAUAGCUAUAAAAGCUUGUGUACCUUACCUGUAUGCUUAUUGUUAAAUAAUUUUAAGAGUUAAGAUCACCAAUCUUGACAAGUCUUUUCAUAUACAUUGUAAUUCUUGUUAUUUAACUAAUUGUGUAGAUCCUAAUUUAAAUAAGGAAUCUACUGUUAUGAUUUUGUUAAAAGGAUUCUGCUUAUGUUUUGCUGCCUGUAGAGUUAAAAAUGCUCCUUGGUUUGAGAACUCAGGAUUACAAGCUUUAAAAGACUCAGCCAACUUAUUAGACCUAAGAGAUUUGUAGAAACUUUGAUUUUUAGAAAUAACUACUUUAAUUGCUAUUUUAACUUCCUUUACGUUAUCCACCACAGCCUUAGUACAACAACUGCAUACUGCUCAUUUUGUUAAUGACAUGCAUAAGAAUAUUUCUGUGGCAUUGUCAAAGUUGUAUUUUAUAGAUAAAAAAUUGGAAGCAAAGGUUAACGCCCUAAAAGAAGUCGUGCUGACAAUAGGACAAGAUAUUGCUAAUAUCAAGACCAGGUUAGCUACUAAAUGUCAUGCUUCUUUUCUAUACAUUUAUGUCACUCCUUUACCUUACAACCACUGAUUAGGAAAAGACAAAAACUCAUUUACAGGGUAUAUAGAAAGAUACUGAUAUUUCUCAUGACUUAGAACAGUUAAAGUUAAAAAUUUCAGAUAUUAGUAAAAGCCAUCUGGACACUUGAAACAUUGAUGAAUUGGCUAGAGAUUUAAAGAACAACUUAAGUGCAUUAAACCCUCUAGAUUGGGUUCAAUAUAUUAUCCUACUUGUUAUUAUUUUUGACAUUACUUUAUUAGUAAUCAUUGUGUUUCCACUCAUCUUUAGAGUGCUCCUGAGAUCUGUAGCUACGACAAAGCGGGACAUCCUAGAACUUCGGCUGAGAAAUAAAGAUAAAUUAU